rnacentral:rRNA from 1 species
AGGACGAACGCUGGCGGCGUGCUUAACACAUGCAAGUCGAGCGGAAAGGCCCUUCGGGGUACUCGAGCGGCGAACGGGUGAGUAACACGUGAGUAAUCUGCCCCUAGCUCUGGGAUAGCUCCGGGAAACCGGGAUUAAUACCAGAUACGACCACUUUAGACAUCUGUUGUGGUGGAAAGAAUUUCGGCUAGGGAUGAGCUCGCGGCCUAUCAGCUUGUUGGUGAGGUAACGGCUCACCAAGGCGACGACGGGUAGCCGGCCUGAGAGGGCGACCGGCCACACUGGGACUGAGACACGGCCCAGACUCCUACGGGAGGCAGCAGUGGGGAAUAUUGCGCAAUGGGCGAAAGCCUGACGCAGCGACGCCGCGUGGGGGAUGAAGGCCUUCGGGUUGUAAACCCUUUCAGCAGGGACGAAGCGAAAGUGACGGUACCUGCAGAAGAAGCGCCGGCUAACUACGCGCCAGCAGCCGC